CACCGCGGUUAUACGAGAAACCCUAGUUGACAAAUACGGCGUAAAGAGUGGUUAAGGGUUAAAAAAAAUAAAGUCAAACAUUUUCCUAGUUGUUAUAAGCAUUUCGAAAACAUGAAGCCCAACCACGAAAGUGACUUUACCUCCACCUGACCCCACGAAAGCUAAGAAA
rnacentral:rRNA from 1 species